rnacentral:rRNA from 1 species
AAUAGAUACCCAGGUAGUCCAUGCCGUAAACGUUGGGAACUAGAUGUGGGACCAUUCCACGGUUUCCGUGUCGCAGCUAACGCAUUAAGUUCCCCGCCUGGGGAGUACGGCCGCAAGGCUAAAACUCAAAGGAAUUGACGGGGGCCCGCACAAGCGGCGGAGCAUGCGGAUUAAUUCGAUGCAACGCGAAGAACCUUACCAAGGCUUGACAUAUACCGGAAAGGUCUGGAAACAGUCCCCCCGCAAGGUCGGUAUACAGGUGGUGCAUGGUUGUCGUCAGCUCGUGUCGUGAGAUGUUGGGUUAAGUCCCGCAACGAGCGCAACCCUCGUCUUAUGUUGCCAGCGGUUCGGCCGGGGACUCAUAAGAGACUGCCGGGGUCAACUCGGAGGAAGGUGGGGAUGAGGUCAAAUCAUCAUGCCCCUUAUGUCUUGGGCUUCACGCAUGCUACAAUGGCCGGUACAAAGGGCUGCAAUACCGCGAGGUGGAGCGAAUCCCAAAAGCCGGUCUCAGUUCGGAUUGAGGUCUGCAACUCGACCCAUGAAGUCGG